rnacentral:rRNA from 1 species
CGGUCCAGACUCCUACGGGAGGCAGCAGUAGGGAAUCUUCCGCAAUGGGCGAAAGUCUGACGGAGCAACGCCGCGUGAGUGAUGAAGGUUUUAGGAUCGUAAAACUCUGUUGUUAGGGAAAGAAAAUUUGUUAGUAACUGAACGAAUCUUGACGGUACCUAACCAGAAAGCCACGGCUAACUACGUGCCAGCAGCCGCGGUAA